UACCCACAUGGAUUGGAAUAUCAUUAGCAAUGAGGUCAGGGCGAAGAGCAACCCGCAAUCCCCAAACGGUAAAACCCUCUAUGCGAUGCUGAAAGGGGGUUUUGCGUUAUAAUUCACCCUUUUAUCUCUCACUCCUUCAGUAGAGUUGAGUUCCCAACGCAACGCAGGCUCAAACAAUGCCUUCGAAUUCAAAGCAGAAAAAGAAGCAAUCCAAGCUUUUGCAGCAGUCAUCAUUGUCCUCCAAUGCCGCCACCACGCCUUCCAAAACGCUCCAACCUUCUGAACUUGCCUCCUUGUGCGAAGAAGCUUCUCGAAAGUUCCCUUCUCUCAUCGCUAAAUCCGCGUUCAUCGCCGAACUCGCCCAGGUCGACGACACUGUUCCCGUUUCUAACAGAAUUUGGCUCUCCGCACCUUCCAUGCUCUCCCUCUCUCUCCCCCCCGGUUCCACAGUCUCGGUGUCUAUUCCAUCUUGGGGGGAGAAAAUUUCGCAAUUGCAUAGCUUUCCUCUCGCAUCGUUAGCUAAUGAAUGUGAAAAACUCUAUGGAUUGGAAAGUAGCAAGGCGUUGGAUGAUUAUGCGGGAAACUACUUGGUACUUGCAACCGUGUUUCCUUCUAGUAAGGUUUUGAAGAAUGGAGUACGCCUGUCUUCAAACCUUUAUCAUGCCAUGGGAUGUCCUGCUUUGGGCACAAGUGUGUUUGUUCAUCCAAUAUCUAGUGCUGCAAAUGGGAUCAAUGAACAACAUUCUACAGGAAAUAGUUGUCUGUCUAUAUAUAAUUGCAAGGAAUUGUAUCUUCAGUUGGUUCCUUCUAAGAAUGGUCUACCAUUGAAAUUUAAUAACUUUCCCUCAUUGGGUGUGUCUAAGGUGAAAUUUCAUGUCCAAUCUGAGAAUGAUAUUGUUGCAUCUCCUGCAACACCUUCGAAUGGAUCAAAGUUUUCUAAUGCUUGUGGGAUGUCUUCUCCACUGUUUGACAAUUCAGCAUCUAGUCUGCCAAAUCAGAAUAGUCAAUCAUUGAAUUCAUUUGAUGUUAGCUUAGCAUUAGGGAAUGAAAGUUCUAAAGAAUUACUACUGACGGGUGCAAAAUGAUGGUUAUAUUCUCGCUCUUUACUUCUAGGGAAUCUUGUCAAUGUCCCAAUGUUAUCAGAGUUGUGCUUUUUCCAAGUCAUAGGUGCUAUGAAGCAGCCAGUUACCAAAUCUGAUCAUUAUCCAUCAAAUGGAAACGGUGAUUUAUAUCCUGAGGAUUCUGAUAUAGCAGAUAGUGGAAAUCAGGCUUUCACUGUUAAUGAUGAAACAAAGGUGUUUUUAUCUCUGCCAUCAAAUACCGCAUCUGAAGAGCCAAUUCAAAGGGAUAUACCUUGUGUGAAACUAGAAUGCAGAGUUGCUAAUGCUAGCUUACAUGAUAAAAUCUCUAAAUUGGGUGGUCUAUCCAAAGAAUAUACACUUCUAAAGGGCAUAAUUUCUUCGUCAGUGAGCGAUGCUUUGUCAAGUUUUGGUUUAAGAACCACGAGAGGUGUUCUUCUUCAUGGUCCACCUGGUACAGGAAAGACUUCCCUGGCUCAAUUAUGUGCUCAUGAUGUUGGGGUCAAAUUUUUCCCAAUAAAUGGACCUGAAAUUGUUACCCAAUAUUAUGGGGAAAGUGAGCAACAAUUGCAUGAAGUUUUUGAUUCAGCCAUUCAAGCUGCACCUGCUGUGGUAUUCAUUGAUGAAUUAGAUGCAAUUGCCCCUGCAAGGAAAGAUGGAGGUGAAGAGCUAUCUCAAAGAUUGGUCGCAACUUUAUUAAAUCUGAUGGAUGGAAUUAGUAGAAGUGAAGGGUUACUUGUAAUUGCCGCCACUAACCGGCCUGACCAUAUUGAGCCAGCUCUCAGACGACCAGGAAGAUUUGACAAGGAAAUUGAAAUUGGUGUGCCAUCACCCGACCAACGUUCGGAUAUUUUGCUCACUCUUCUCAGUGAAAUGGAUCACACUCUCUCUGAGUUUCAAAUUGAACACCUUGGCACCGCCACUCAUGGUUUUGUGGGUGCUGAUCUAGCUGCACUUUGCAAUGAGGCAGCCUUGAUUUGUCUAAGGCAUUAUGCCAAUUUUAAGAAGACUUAUGGUUCUUGUUCUGAUUAUAUAACAGAGCAACCUGCUCUGAUGAAUAGUGCAACAAACUCAAGAGAUCAUUCGGGUGAUGCAAUUUCAUCUGUUUCAGAUGUCAGUGGCCUCCAGUCGUGUGUUACCUUCCUCCAGUCUUGCUGUAACUCGUGGGAAGGAAAGUGAUGGUGUUUCAGUGUCAGAUAGGGUCAUGAGUCAACUUCUUGUUGAGUUGGAUGGUCUGCAUCAAAGAGUUAAUGUCACUGUCAUAGCUGCUACAAAUAGGCCAGACAAGAUAGACCCUGCCCUUUUAAGGCCAGGACGCUUUGACCGUCUGCUAUAUGUUGGGCCUCCAAAUGAGGUGGACAGGGAAGAGAUAUUUCGCAUACAUCUGUGUAAAAUCCCGUGUGGUUCUGAUGUUAGCCUUAAAGAACUUGCUCGACUCACAGAUGGUUGUACAGGGGCUGACAUAUCAUUGAUAUGUCGGGAGGCAGCUGUUGCAGCAAUUGAGGAGAGACUUGAUGCUUCAGUUAUAACAAUGGAGCAUUUAAAGAUGGCAAUCAAACAGAUCCAGCCAUCAGAAGUUCACUCCUACCAAAAGCUGUCAACAAAAUUUCAAAGGGCAGUUCACUGCUGUUAUAUAAAGAAUGAAUUCAAUGAUAUGCAGUGCGACAGUAGAUCUACUCAGUUCAACAUUUGGAAGUUCAUAAAAUCUUGCACAUCGUUCCUCUAUCAGAUUCCAUUUGUCAUCUUUAAUUUGAGAACUGCUCAAAGUAGUUAACCACAGUCCUCAGAGAAACUAUUAUGUGUGUCGUAUUCCAGUGACUGGGCUCAUGUGCAUUACAUGGGAUCAUCUGCACUGCAAACUGGCUAGAUUGAACCUUUAUUUAAAAUGAGUGCAGUAUCUAUGAAGCACCUGUAAUGGGGAUCAAUGUCUUCACCAACAGAGGAGUUAACUAAGAGAAAAAAGUGUAAUUGCCAAAAUUUGUGCUGAAAACCCCCCUGACUGAAUCAUGAUUAGCCUUUCCAUUGGAAGAUGAACAUAAUUUGAGAAUGAUUACAAACGUGGUCUCACGUGGAAGUUUUGCUUGCUUGUUACUUUUGAAGGUGUGAGAGGUAGCAAUGUUGUAUGAGGAACUCGGCCAUUCAUACCUGUGCGUCAUUCUCAACGUGCCAAUUUUCUGUAGGCCUCGACCACACUAGUUUGUACACAAAAUCAUAAGUUAUCAAGUUUGUUGAUAAAACUUACGUACCGUGAGGAAUAUUACAGUAUAUUAGCUGAGAGCAAUGCAUAUACAGAUUACAAAUGUUUUGGCAAAUUCAAUGCGUUAUGUUGUACUCCUUGAGUAUUUUGGAACACUCAACUUGUAUGGUCCCAGAAAUUGUAGAUGAAAUUUAUUGAGUAGUUACUGCACUAUUGACACAUCAUUAGAUUAUUAUUAUUAGUCUACCUUUGUUGGAUGGUUGCAUUUGGCUCAAUGAAUUUACUUAUUGAAAUGUACAA